rnacentral:rRNA from 1 species
UGUGUAGGCGGAUCAAUAAGUCAGUGGUGAAAUCUCUCGGCUCAACCGGGAAACUGCCAUUGAUACUGUUGAUCUUGAGUUCGGUUGAGGUAGGCGGAAUGUGUAAUGUAGCGGUGAAAUGCUUAGAUAUUACACAGAACACCAAUUGCGUAGGCAGCUUACUAGACCGACACUGACGCUGAGGCACGAAAGCGUGGGGAGCGAACAGGAUUAGAUACCCUGGUAGUCC